GACUCGGUAGCUUAUUUGGUAAAGCACUCGUCUAGCAUAAAAAGGUCGUGGGUUCGAUUCCCACCUGGGCA
rnacentral:tRNA from 1 species